UGAGAUCCUUGACGGCCUUGGCGUGCAC
rnacentral:sRNA from 1 species